AGAAGUAUGGCUCAAGUGGUAGAGUGCCAGCCUAGGAAAUUGGAGGCCCUUAGUUCAAAUUGAGUACUACCA
rnacentral:tRNA from 1 species